CUCUCUUUGGAGACCUAUGAUAAAAUUGGAACGAUAUAGGGAAGAUAUGCAUGGCCCGGUGCAAGCAGGAUGAUGCAUAAAUCAAGAAAUGGUCCACAUUUUU